rnacentral:pre_miRNA from 1 species
ACUGUACUCCCUCCAUUCGGAAUUACUUGUCUUGGAUAUGGAUGUAUCUAGAACUAAAAUAUAUUUAGAUACAUCCAUUUCUGCGACAAGUAAUUCCAAACGGAGGGAGUACGUG